GCUAAACAACAUCGUGUGCGGGGGCGGUCUGCUGGUACGUCGAGAUACAGGGGGAGCUCUUGCAGACUCACUUGAAGUUUGGAGCUCGAUGCAAGCUCACAGCCAGAGAUUCAAGGCGCAACAACGUAGCUAUGGACGAUGAAGUGCCAGGAGCUGCUUCCAUGCUCAAGAACACAGUGGAUGCAUGCUGAUCCACGGAGAGAGCAUUUUUGUGGCAAUCCAGGUCUAUUCUGUGAUCUAGGGGGCAACAUUGACAAUGUAGUAGAUGGGCAGGAGAAAGGAUGUAGCCCGGAAGAUAUUUUGGCGGUAAUCUGUUGUUACACAGGAGAAAAAAAAGUGUUUUGCUGAUUAUCUGGAAUAAAUUAGAGAUGUACGCUGAUUAUGCAUGCUCAAGAAUCCUUUAACA